AGAGUUUGAUCCUGGCUCAGAAUCAACGCUGGCGGCGUGCCUAACACAUGCAAGUCGCACGAGAAAGCGGGCUUCGGCCUGCAAGUAAAGUGGCGCACGGGUGAGUAACACGUGAAUCAUCUACCUUCGAGUGGGGAAUAACCUCGGGAAACCGAGGCUAAUACCGCAUAAUACCUACGGGUCAAAGCAGCAAUGCGCUU
rnacentral:rRNA from 1 species